rnacentral:rRNA from 1 species
UGGGGAAUAUUGCACAAUGGGCGGAAGCCUGAUGCAGCGACGCCGCGUGGGGGAUGAAGGCCUUCGGGUUGUAAACUCCUUUCGACAGGGACGAAGCUUUUGUGACGGUACCUGUAUAAGAAGCACCGGCUAACUACGUGCCAGCAGCCGCGGUAAUACGUAGGGUGCGAGCGUUGUCCGGAAUUACUGGGCGUAAAGAGCUCGUUGGUGGUUUGUCGCGUCGUCUGUGAAAUUCCGGGGCUUAACUCCGGGCGUGCAGGCGAUACGGGCUGACUUGAGUGCUGUAGGGGAGACUGGAAUUCCUGGUGUAGCGGUGAAAUGCGCAGAUAUCAGGAGGAACACCGAUGGCGAAGGCAGGUCUCUGGGCAGUAACUGACGCUGAGGAGCGAAAGCAUGGGUAGCGAACAGG